GAAUAUUUUGGGAUGGCACAAUGCCUCUCCCAUAGUGGAGGUGGCUUCCUGGCCACCCUACUCCCACUCCCAGCUAAUGGGUUGCUUCUGAAAUGGCUCAGAACCACUCACAGUAAAAAAGAGAAUGUGUUCGAUCUACCUUACCAAAUUACCUGCAAUGGGGGUUUUCCAGCAUGGCACCAUACUGCUCCAGUAGUGGAGGCAGACUCUGGGCCAAUGCACCGAUGAUCACAGCUAAGGGGAUGCUUCCAAAAAGGCUCAGAACCACUCACAGGAAUAAAGAGAAAGCGUUCCUUCUGCCAUACCACAUCUCCUGCCAUGGGAGAGGAUUCUGGCCUGGUACUAUCCCACUCCAGUAGUGGAGGCAGAUACCAGGCCAUCCUUUGGAUGAUCCCAGCUAAUGGGAUGCUUCUGAAAUGGCUCAGAACAGCUCACAGGGAAAAAGAGAUUGCAUUCAAUCUGUGAUAAAACAUCUCCUGCAGCAGGGGAGGAUUCUGGCCUGGCACUACCCUGCUCCAGUAGUGGAGGCGGAUUCCGGGACACCAUAAGGCCACUCCCAGGAAAUUUGAUGCUUCCAAAAUGGCUCAGAACCAUUCACAAGAGAAAAGAGAAUGCAUACAGUCCACCUUAAAACAUCUCCUGCCACAGGGGAUUAUUUUGGGAUGGCACAAUGCUGCACCCAAAGUGGAGGCAUCUUCCUGGCCACCAAACCACCACUCCCAGAUAAUAGGUUGCUUCCAAAAUGGCUCAGAACAGCUCACAGGAAAAAAGAGAAUGCAUUCGUUCUAUGUUACCAAAUUGCUGCAAUGGGGGUAGAUUCGGGCAUGGCACUAUGCUGCUCCCAUACUUGAGGCAGACUCUGGGCCAAGGUACUGAUGAGCACAGCUAAUGGGAUGCUUCUGAAAUGGCUCAGAACCACUCACAGGAAAAAAGAGAAUGUUUUCCAUCCAUCUUACCACAUCUACUGCCACCUGGGAAUAUUUUG
rnacentral:lncRNA from 1 species